rnacentral:rRNA from 1 species
AUAUUAUAAAUUUAAGUACUGUAAAGAAAAAUAAAUUAAAUAUUUAUUUAUACCUUUUGCAUAAUGGUUUAAUAAUAGUAUUAAAGAAUUUUUUUUUCCCGAAAUUAGAAGAUUUAACUUUGUUAAAAUUUUAGAUAUUAUAUAAUAUAAUGUUUCAAAAUUAUAAAUAUAAACAAAGUUAGGGGUGAAAGGCUUAUCAAUUCUAUAGAUAUCUGGAAUAAUUUUAAAUGUAUUUAGUACAAAAUAAUGGUUUGAUUAAAAAAAUCUUAAGAUUUUUUUAAUUUUAGAAUAGUACUUAAUAUAAUUUUUGUGAAUUAAUCUUCUUGUAAUUAAAUUUAUUAAUAAUUUUAAAGUAAAAAUAAUCUAAAUUAUAAAAUUAUUAAAAUAUAAAUUUUUCAAUAUAUAAAUUAUGUUAAAAUUAGUAUAAUAUUAUUUGUUUUUUAAAGGAACUCGGCAAAUUUAUUAUUCAUCUGUUUAUCAAAAACAUAGCUUUGUGUAAAAUAUACAAAGUAAAACCUGCCCAGUGAUUAUAAUUAAACGGCCGCAGUACCUUGACUGUGCUAAGGUAGCAUAAUAAAUUGACUUUUAAUUAAAGCCUUGAAUGAAAGGGUAAAUGGAUAAUUUCUGUCUUUAAUAAAUUACUUAUAAUUUACUUAAAAGGUGAAAAUUCCUUUAAUUAAAUAUAAUAGACGAGAAGACCCUAGGAG